rnacentral:rRNA from 1 species
CCUACGGGAGGCUGCAGUGGGGAAUAUUGCACAAUGGGGGAAACCCUGAUGCAGCGACGCCGCGUGAGUGAAGAAGUAUUUCGGUAUGUAAAGCUCUAUCAGCAGGGAAGAAAAUGACGGUACCUGAUUAAGAAGCCCCGGCUAACUACGUGCCAGCAGCCGCGGUAAUACGUAGGGGGCAAGCGUUAUCCGGAUUUACUGGGUGUAAAGGGAGCGUAGACGGCAGCACAAGUCUGGAGUGAAAUGCCGGGGCUUAACCCCGGAACUGCUUUGGAAACUGUGCAGCUAGAGUGCAGGAGAGGUAAGUGGAAUUCCUAGUGUAGCGGUGGAAUGCGUAGAUAUUAGGAGGAACACCAGUGGCGAAGGCGGCUUACUGGACUGUAACUGACGUUGAGGCUCGAAAGCGUGGGGAGCAAACAGGAUUAGAUACCCUAGUAGUC